UGGGGAAUAUUGCGCAAUGGGGGAAACCCUGACGCAGCAACGCCGCGUGGGCGACGAAGGUCUUCGGAUUGUAAAGCCCUGUCUUCUGGGACGAUAAUGACGGUACCAGAGGAGGAAGCCACGGCUAACUACGUGCCAGCAGCCGCGGUAAUACGUAGGUGGCAAGCGUUGUCCGGAAUUACUGGGCGUAAAGGGUGCGUAGGCGGAUAUUUAAGUGGGAUGUGAAAUACCUGAGCUCAACUAGGGUGCUGCAUUCCAAACUGGAUAUCUAGAGUGCAGGAGAGGAGAAUGGAAUUCCUAGUGUAGCGGUGAAAUGCGUAGAGAUUAGGAAGAACACCAGUGGCGAAGGCGAUUCUCUGGACUGUAACUGACGCUGAGGCACGAAAGCGUGGGUAGCAAACAGG
rnacentral:rRNA from 2 species